rnacentral:miRNA from 1 species
CGGGGUCGUCGCCGUCCCUUC